AAAUGUAGUUUCCUCCCUAGGAGGGUAGAGGUUUCUAUACAUCUCAAAUCAUCAUCAUAAUCAGAAUCAUCCGAGUUUAAGUUGAAGCCAGAUUCAGAAUUAACAGAAAUUAAACUAAUUAUUAAACCAGAUUCGAAUAUCUGGUUGGAUUUGGUUUCAAACACGUUUACCAGGUUGGAUUUGAUUUAUCCAAUUCUGCUUGAUGCGAUUUCAAA
rnacentral:misc_RNA from 1 species